rnacentral:rRNA from 1 species
UACGUAGGGUGCAAGCGUUAAUCGGAAUUACUGGGCGUAAAGCGUGCGCAGGCGGUGAUGUAAGACAGAUGUGAAAUCCCCGGGCUCAACCUGGGAACUGCAUUUGUGACUGCAUCGCUGGAGUGCGGCAGAGGGGGAUGGAAUUCCGAGUGUAGCAGUGAAAUGUGUAGAUAUUCGGAAGAACACCAGCGGCGAAGGCAGCAACUUGGUCUGGUAUUGACGCUCAGGCACGAAAGCAUGGGGAUCAAACAGG